UACAGAGGGUGCAAGCGUUGUUCGGAAUUAUUGGGCGUAAAGAGCUCGUAGGCGGUCUGUCACGUCGGCUGUGAAAUCCCGAGGCUCAACCUCGGGUCUGCAGUCGAUACGGGCAAACUAGAGUAUUGCAGGGGAGACUGGAAUUCCUGGUGUAGCGGUGAAAUGCGCAGAUAUCAGGAGGAACACCGGUGGCGAAGGCGGGUCUCUGGGCCGUAACUGACGCUGAGGAGCGAAAGCGUGGGGAGCGAACAGG
rnacentral:rRNA from 1 species